UACGAAGGGGGCUAGCGUUGCUCGGAAUCACUGGGCGUAAAGCGCACGUAGGCGGAUUGUUAAGUCAGGGGUGAAAUCCUGGAGCUCAACUCCAGAACUGCCUUUGAUACUGGCGAUCUCGAGUCCGGGAGAGGUGAGUGGAACUGCGAGUGUAGAGGUGAAAUUCGUAGAUAUUCGCAAGAACACCAGUGGCGAAGGCGACUACCUGGCCGUGUUCGUACGCU
rnacentral:rRNA from 1 species